rnacentral:rRNA from 1 species
CCUACGGGAGGCAGCAGUGAGGAAUAUUGGUCAAUGGUCGGGAGACUGAACCAGCCAAGCCGCGUGAGGGAUGAAGGUACAGAGUAUCGUAAACCUCUUUUGUCAGGGAACAAAGGCGGGGACGUGUCCCCGGAUGAGUGUACCUGAAGAAAAAGCAUCGGCUAACUCCGUGCCAGCAGCCGCGGUAAUACGGAGGAUGCGAGCGUUAUCCGGUUUUAUUGGGUUUAAAGGGUGCGCAGGCGGUCUGUUAAGUCAGCGGUAAAAGCCCGGGGCUCAACCCCGGCCCGCCGUUGAAACUGGCAGUCUCGAGUUGGAGAGAAGUAUGCGGAAUGCGCGGUGUAGCGGUGAAAUGCAUAGAUAUCGCGCAGAACUCCGAUUGCGAAGGCAGCAUGCCGGCUCCACACUGACGCUGAGGCACGAAAGCGUGGGUAUCGAACAGGAUUAGAUACCCUUGUAGUC